rnacentral:rRNA from 1 species
CCUACGGGAGGCAGCAGUGGGGAAUUUUGGACAAUGGGGGCAACCCUGAUCCAGCAAUGCCGCGUGAGUGAAGAAGGCCUUCGGGUUGUAAAGCUCUUUUGUCAGGGAAGAAACGGUUUGGCCUAAUACGCUGGACUAAUGACGGUACCUGAAGAAUAAGCACCGGCU